rnacentral:lncRNA from 1 species
CAACUUGGCUGAGACAGUUCUACAGCAAAAAAAAAAAAAAAAAAAAAAAAAAAUCACUGUCAUCGAAAUCGCCUGCGAUUCUUUUCUUUCCCUUGGGUUUCAGGAGACUUUCAUUCCAUCAUAACGACGUUCCUGGGAACAUCCCCUCUUCUGCUCAGUUUCGCCCUCCGGAUGUGGGUGGAUGGGCGUCAAGCGGUGUACCUCCACCAUUUGGCAUCAGUGGUAAAAUUAUGACCGUAGGUGGUGAGAGGUGGACGGAGGGGUGGGCGCUGUUCCUGGGUUCUGCAAUGGAUGCUGAUGUUUUGGGAAAAAAAAAAAAAAAAAAAAAAAAGAAAUGCUGUGCUGAAGGGACGCUGUCAGGUCGGAUGUGUGCUCGCCUCCUCCCCAGAGCUUUCAGAACCCUUUGGUUCCCAUCGUGCUGCGCUGUGUGUCCAGAGCAGUUCGGGAUGUGAACAUGUGCUGGGGUGGGCACAGCCAUGUCCUUCCUAAACCUGGUUCUUGUUCCAAGUCUGGCUUUGGUUUGGUCCCCACAGGGGCGUUUUGGACAGUUGGGGACAUUACGGUGCUCUGAGCCCUCUGUGCCACCACCUGCACUGCAUCUGUAUCCCUGGGUUGCAUUGGAGCCCCAUGGUUGCAUUGGAGCCCAAUGGUUGCGUCAGAGCCCCAAUGGUUGUGUCAGAUCUCCAUGGUUGCAUUGAAGUCUAAUGGUUUGUUGGAGCCCCAUGGUUGCAUUGGAGCCCCAGUGGUUGUGUUGCAGCCCCGGUGAUUGCAUUGGAGCCCCAUGGUUGCAAUGGAGUCCCAAUGGUUGCAUCGGAGCUGUCAUGGUUGCAUCAGAGCCCCAUGGUUGCAUUGAACUCUCAUGGUUCUUUGGAGCCUCAAUUGUUGCAUUGGAGCCCCAAUGAUUGCGUUGGAGCCCCAGUUGAUGUGUUGGAGCCUGAUGAUUGCGUUGGAGCCCCAUGGUUUCAUCAGAGCUCCGUAGAUGCGUUGAAGUUUUAUGGUUCGUUGGAGCCCCAAUGGUUGCGUUGGAGCCCCAAUUGUUGCCUUGGAGCCAAUGGUUCGUUGGAGCCGCAUGGUUGCCGUGGAACUCCAAUGGUUGUGUUGAAGCCCAGUGGUUGUGUUGGAGUCCAGUGGUUGCAUUCGAGCCCCAGUGGUUGUGCUGGAGCCCAAGAGUACAUUGAAGCCCAAUGGUUGCAUAGAAGCCCAGUGGUUGCAUUGGAGCUGCACGUUCUGCCACGUUCUCCUGCUGAUGGGAAUAGAGUGGUUGGGUUGUGGGGCUCCAACCACCGUUCUGGGGGGCGUUUGGAUGUGUUCACUUUGGUACCGGCGGGGCUGGAGCAGGAAAUGUGAUGGCUUAAGUGCUUCCCCGGCUGAGCACCCGGAGGCCGCGUUGUUAGUUGAGUGACUAUAGUCGUUCUUGGCUGAGUGAAGUCUGUUCGUGGUAAUGUGAGCAAGUUUUUGGUCAAUGUCUUUCUUUGAUGCCAGGUUGUGAAGAGGUGGGUGGGAGCGGGGAGGGGGGAAGGAGAGAUCUGGGGGCGGGGGGAACCCGUGCUAGCACUGACCCUGGGGAAUGGGGAGGGGGGGAGGCGAGGGGCUCCUUGGCUGCUCCUUUUAUCUCUCCCCGUCCCCUAGCAAGCAGAAACGAUGUAAAAGCCUCCUGCAUGCUGGAAAAAAAAAAAACAGUAGAGAAAAUGGAAAAAAAAAAAAAAAAAAAGAAAGAAAAAAAAAGGAAAAAAAAAAAGAAACGACCUUUCUUAAAAAAAUAAUAAUAAUAAUAAUUAAAAUUUAAGAAUAAAAUAAAAUACGUAAAGGAAUGACGACCCAAACAAACAUCCGCGCUUGCUGGUGGGAACCAGGGGCUCCGUCUGUCCCGGGGGGUUCCUGCUCGAAUCUCCGAGUUGGCCUUGAAUAAAACCUUCAGUUCCAAUAACCUUUAUAUAUAUAUAUAUAUGCAUAUCUAUAUACAUAUACAUAUAUAUCGAAAGAAAGCUUGAUGUAGCAGUUCUAGUUUGAAAUGAAUAGAAGUCGUUGGGCCCCCAGUUUUGUGUUGGGUUCUCCUGCCCCCCCCCUGCCCCCCACCCCCUCCCUCUUUUCGAUGUAGCAGCUGUGCAAGAAAGGAAUCCAGGCGCUGUAGUGCACCGCAAUACCUCUGGCCCCGGGGGGGGAGGGGACACCCCAAUUGCAGGGGCUUCGACAACAAAAUUUUCCUACUUUUUUUUUUUUUUUGUCUCUUUUUUUUUUUAAAUAUAUGUAUAUAUAUAAUUAAAAAAAAAAACUAAAAAAAAAAAAC